rnacentral:rRNA from 1 species
UACGGGGGGGGCAAGCGUUGUUCGGAAUUACUGGGCGUAAAGGGCUCGUAGGCGGCCAACUAAGUCGGACGUGAAAUCCCUCGGCUUAACCGGGGAACUGCGUCCGAUACUGGUUGGCUUGAGUUUGGGAGAGGGAUGCGGAAUUCCAGGUGUAGCGGUGAAAUGCGUAGAUAUCUGGAGGAACACCGGUGGCGAAGGCAGCUCGCUGGGACGUGACUGACGCUGAGACGCGAAAGCGUGGGGAGCAAACAGG